AAACAAACAAACAAACAAACAAACAAACAAACACAAAGCAUACAGUAGCAGAUACAUGCAGGCAGACCCCGGUAGUCACGGACAGAUCCUGGUUUCAUCCCGAUAAGCUGUUAGCCGAGGAUGGAAUCUCCGGUUGGUUUUUUACUAGUCUGAUCAACUGUCAGAGAAAUGGACAGAGACGACUUAGAUGGCGAGCCCAGCCCAGUGAGUCCGAGAGAGAGAGAGAGAGAGCUGGAGAUGCUGUGUGGCCACCUGCAGAAUCUACUUUGAAGACUCCAGAUCAUCUGAAUCACUCAUUCUGAAGACAGAUAAGAUACACUCACUCACUCACUCCUCACCGAACCGGGUAGUAGACGUAGAAAUUGAGUGGACAUAAAUAUAGAAUACACACACACACACACACACACAUUGGGGAUCCCUCUUUUCUUUGAUUUAUGUUUCUUUUAUUUUGUGGCGCCUUAUUUUUUGCAAUUAAAUGCAUAACAGCUGUCACUGUUAAUGAAUGAAAGUGUCACCUGUUCAAAUCAUAGUAGCACCCACUCAAAUUCUAAUAGAAACAGUUCAAAAUCUUGAGGACUUCCAAGUGUGUUGUAGCUGCAAAAGGGGAACCAACUCUAUAUUAAAGUACUGUAUAUGUGUUUUAAUAUGUCAUUACAGUCCCUGUUGGUGUAAUGGUCAAGUGUCUAAAUACUUUUGUCCAUGUAGUGUAUCAACAAACAUUGAAUACAAUAUUUAAAAUGUUGUUUUCACUCAUUUAUCAGCUGAAAAUUAAGAAUUGUCCUGUUUUUGUUACCUUAGAAUGGACUCUUUAGAUCAGUGGUUCCCAAAAAAUAAUCAGUGACUAGUCGAUUAUUGAAAUAAUGGUUUGUGGCAGCCCUAGUAGAUAUUGAACACAUACUAGCCAUAAGUAUGUUUGUAAGUGUAUAAUCACUUUAGAAUAAGAAUAGUUUGUUUAUUAUAACCUUGAAAUAAGCCUCUCUUAACAGAGGCCAAACCAAAGUAUUUCACUUUCAGCGGUGUUAAUUAACCCCACUCUGUAACUAUCAUACGAUUUGUAUUUAAAAUAUUACAAUUGUUCAUAUAGAUUGUGAGAACAUGUUAUAUUUUUUGUACAAACAUACUGGUUUAAUGAAGAAAACAUAGUCAGACCUUAUCUGAGUAUUGCCACAAACCCCCAAUGAUGCUAUUUCUGAAGAAAAGUUGAAUAUGACAUUAUCUUUUAAUGUUGUAUCAGUGUCCAUGUUCCUUUCAUAUUGACAGAUAUCCUUUCACAGACUUCUCUUGUUUUGCCGAUGGUCCAGUGCAGUCUUACUUUUGCACCGUUUUUUUUUGUUGAGGUCAGACAAACCUCAUACAAUUGUGGAGAAAGAGUCCCUUCUGCUAAGAAAAUUGACCUGAGGGCAGUUGACACAGCACCUGCAGGUUAAUAAGCACUUACCCUCCAAAUCACUCUGUAGAGUAGUGCUAGAGAAUAAACAUUUUUGAGAGAUCCGGAGAUGACCUUGGAAAUUCUGAGUUGUUACAAUACAAAUGAAACUCACCAUAAGACCUUCAGCGAUGUAGGCACUCUGCAUCCAGUGUGGCCCCAAUUAACUGAUAUGGCUGGCUGAAUGCCGGUAUUGUGCAGCAGUUAAAAUUAGGGCAUUAUUUUAUUGAUAAAAAAUAAUAUGAUUCUUUUUAAUUAAUUGAUUCACUAAGUUCCUUCCCAUAACGAAAAUGGCACGAAAAGUCUAAGGCCAUGUUUAGAAAGUAGCCCAAAUCAGAUUUGUAAGCAUAUCCAAUUAGAAACAGAUUUUCCUGUCCAACUCUUCACAUUAUCAUCUUGUGUACUCCUCCUGCCAGUCCCAAGUCCAGAUAAAUGGACAAAUCAAAUCAAAUAUGCAUUUCAUCUGCUGUAGCGACCCCUAGACAGAAGAACAAAUAAUGGUUGUGCUCAUAUAGUAAUGAUGAGCUGUCUUCCCAUCUUAAUAUAUAUUAACAUAACCAUAAACAAGGAUUCCAUGUACAAAAACUCCUGGAUGCAGACAGACCAUGCAUUUACUUGAUAAUUUUUCCCUGUUCCAUUAUAUCAAGAUAAGGCUGUGGCUAAUGAUUAUUAUACGUAAUAGAAUAAUCUGUCGAUUAUUUUCUGAGUAUUUAUUUCCCCAUAAAAUACCAAGAAAUGUUGUACUCAAAUGUCUUGUUUUGUCAGUCGUUAAUGAUUUUUUUGUUAGAUAGAGCAAAGAAAAGGAACAUUUUCACAUUUAAGAAGCUGGAAAAACCAAAAAAACACACAAUUAAAUAGUGAUGAUCAUUGCAAUCCUAUAUGAUAUACAGUGUCGUAAAUUAAAUUGUAUUGCAAUGAAUAGCACACAGCACAUAUCCCAGAAUCACGGCAUCAUCGACAAAAUUGUAUUGUAUUGAGUCGUGUGUCCUCCUAUUUGGUGCUAUGGAAAUGGCCACCAUACCUAUGAGGUCUAUAUACAAAGCAAGUCUGGAUGUUAUGUUCGAUGCCAAACCCUCCCUGAGACGUUCAGUCUAAACCUAAGAUUUGAAUUCUAAAUAAUUAUAACUAAAGCCCUAUUUGAUGGGAUUAGUUUUACAUGGAGAGGUUGUGUAAAGUAAUUACCAGAGCUUCUAAAAGAGCUUAUUUUAGUCCCAUCCAAAUGUUUCAUGUCUGUAAUCAUUACCG